AAGAGAGAGAGGGAGAGGCAAUGUUGCCACAUGGCUACGAUGCUGUGAAGUUGCUUUGCCUCGCACCGAAGAUGCUUUCGAGAUAUAUCGAGUUAUAGCGAUUACCAGAUCGUGCAAUAGUUUCGCUAACGACAGUGAAUAUUUAAAACAGGAAUCGUUCUCUGACCACUGACAAGAGAUAGUUUCAGUUAUCAUUUUGGAUCAAGGUAACAGAGUAUUCUCAGGUCUAAUGAAGCUGAAGGAAAAGGAGAAAAUUGUUUACGAAAAGACGAUAGAUAAAUAGUAGCCUAGACACUUUAGGCGAUUUACCGACGAUAGAGUUCGAACUUCUCAGAUUCGAAAUAGAAAAAUCAGCGCUAAACAUUGCGGAAUUAAGAAAUAUUACGCCACUACGCAGUAACAGUAGAUUAGCAUUCAACGGUUACGUCAAAGUAUCAACAAUUAUUUCAUCUGAAUGGUAUUCAAAUAGAAUAUAAAACAUCAACCGACGGUUUGACUUUGCCUGUGUUUACUGGGAGACGGACAAUACAAAUAGAGAAGGACGGAAACUUAGCAGAGAGAAUAGAACAGGCUUUCAAGAAGCGAAGAUUGAACAAA